rnacentral:rRNA from 1 species
GGCUUUUCGGAGCUCUUUGAUGAUUCAUAAUAACUUUUCGAAUCGCAUGGCCUUGUGCUGGCGAUGGUUCAUUCAAAUUUCUGCCCUAUCAACUUUCGAUGGUAGGAUAGUGGCCUACCAUGGUUUCAACGGGUAACGGGGAAUAAGGGUUCGAUUCCGGAGAGGGAGCCUGAGAAACGGCUACCACAUCCAAGGAAGGCAGCAGGCGCGCAAAUUACCCAAUCCCGACACGGGGAGGUAGUGACAAUAAAUAACGAUACAGGGCCCUUUCGGGUCUUGUAAUUGGAAUGAGUACAAUGUAAAUACCUUAACGAGGAACAAUUGGAGGGCAAGUCUGGUGCCAGCAGCCGCGGUAAUUCCAGCUCCAAUAGCGUAUAUUAAAGUUGUUGCAGUUAAAAAGCUCGUAGUUGAACCUUGGGCUUGGUUGGCCGGUCCGCCUUUUUGGCGAGUACUGGACCCAACCGAGCCUUUCCUUCUGGCUAACCUUUCGCCCUUGUGGUGUUUGGCGAACCAGGACUUUUACUUUGAAAAAAUUAGAGUGUUCAAAGCAGGCCUUUGCUCGAAUAUAUUAGCAUGGAAUAAUAGAAUAGGACGUUAUGGUUCUAUUUUGUUGGUUUCUAGGACCAUCGUAAUGAUUAAUAGGGACGGUCGGGGGCAUCAGUAUUCAGUUGUCAGAGGUGAAAUUCUUGGAUUUACUGAAGACUAACUACUGCGAAAGCAUUUGCCAAGGACGUUUUCAUUAAUCAAGAACGAAAGUUAGGGGAUCGAAGAUGAUCAGAUACCGUCGUAGUCUUAACCAUAAACUAUGCCGACUAAGGGAAUCGGGUGUUGUUCUUUUUUUGACGCACUCGGCACCUUACGAGAAAUCAAAGUCUUUGGGUUCUGGGGGGGAGUAUGGUCGCAAGGCUGAAACUUAAAGGAAUUGACGGAAGGGCACCACCAGGAGUGGAGCCUGCGGCUUAAUUUGACUCAACACGGGGAAACUCACCAGGUCCGAGACMCAAUAAGGAUUGACAGAUUGAGAGCUCUUUCUUGAUUUUGUGGGUGGUGGUGCAUGGCCGUUCUUAGUUGGUGGAGUGAUUUGUCUGCUUAAUUGCGAUAACGAACGAGACCUUAACCUACUAAAUAGUGCUGCUAGCUUUUGCUGGUAUAGUCACUUCUUAGAGGGACUAUCGAUUUCAAGUCGAUGGAAGUUUGAGGCAAUAACAGGUCUGUGAUGCCCUUAGACGUUCUGGGCCGCACGCGCGCUACACUGACGGAGCCAACGAGUAUUAACCUUGGCCGAGAGGUCUGGGAAAUCUUGUGAAACUCCGUCGUGCUGGGGAUAGAGCAUUGUAAUUAUUGCUCUUCAACGAGGAAUUCCUAGUAAGCGCAAGUCAUCAGCUUGCGUUGAUUACGUCCCUGCCCUUUGUACACACCGCCCGUCGCUACUACCGAUUGAAUGGCUUAGUGAGGCCUCCGGAUUGGUUAAAGAAGGGGGCACUCCAUCCUGACCCGCAUU